GACGAACGCUGGCGGCGUGCUUAACACAUGCAAGUCGAACGGAAAGGCCCUGCUUUUGUGGGGUGCUCGAGUGGCGAACGGGUGAGUAACAGGUGAGUAACCUGCCCUUGACUUUGGGAUAACUUCAGGAAACUGGGGCUAAUCCCGGAUAGGAGCUCCUGCUGCAUGGUGGGGGUUGGAAAGUUUCGGCGGUUGGGGAUGGACUCGCGGCUUAUCAGCUUGUUGGUGGGGUAGUGGCUUACCAAGGCUUUGACGGGUAGCCGGCCUGAGAGGGUGACCGGCCACAUUGGGACUGAGAUACGGCCCAGACGCCUACGGGAGGCAGCAGUGGGGAAUAUUGCACAAUGGGCGGAAGCCUGAUGCAGCAACGCCGCGUGCGGGAUGACGGCCUUCGGGUUGUAAACCGCUUUCGCCUGUGACGAAGCGUGAGUGACGGUAAUGGGUAAAGAAGCACCGGCUAACUACGUG
rnacentral:rRNA from 1 species